AAUCAACGCUGGCGGCGUGCCUCAGACAUGCAAGUCGAACGAUUAAGACUCCCUGCGGGGAGUGCAUAAAGUGGCGCACGGGUGAGUAACACGUAAGUAAUCUACCUUCGAGUGGGGAAUAACGUUCGGAAACGAACGCUAAUACCUCAUAAUGCAGCCGCAUCGCAAGAUGACAGCUAUUAAAGGCGCAACCGGCUUGAAGAUGAGCUUGCGGCAGAUUAGCUAGUUGGUAAGGUAACGGCUUACAAAGGCUACGAUCUGUAUCCUGGGUCCGGAGAGGGCGGUCGGACACACAAACACUGAAUAACGGGUCAGACUCCUACGGGAGGCAGCAGUCGGGAAUUUGGGGCAAUGGGCGAAAGGCUGACCCAGCAACGCCGCGUGAAGGAUGAAGUAUUUCGGUAUGUAAACUUCGAAAGAAUAGGAAGAAUAAAUGACGAUACUAUUUAUAAGCUCCGGCUAACUACGUGCCAGCAGCCGCAGUAAUAC
rnacentral:rRNA from 1 species